UCAGGAGCUGGAAAUCAAUUUUUAAAUUUGAUGGAUCCUUCAAAGAUUAAAGAGGCUAUGGAAAGCCUGUGGCAUAGGUGUGCUUUGAAGUGGAGAAUGUACCUGCAUGUCACUGAUGCAAAGUAAAACACUGCUUCAUGUUCCUAACUGCACAGGACCUGUUGAGGAGCCAAGAGUAUAUCAGCCCAGCUGUAUGGACUGCUUUAAUUGAGCCACAUGGUUCUCAGUUGUUUACACAACCUUCUGGAGCACUUGUGGACCAAGCUUGUAUCUGCCCACAAGAGAGCAAGGAGAGGAUUCACACCAGUCCAUUCACUCUGUGCCACUCCACGUGGCUGUUCCUCCCCGUUCAUGAGAAGUUGCUGCAAAUGAGCCAGUGCCCUCUUCCAUUCCCCCAGGAUGUUGUAGAGAAGAAAAGCCCACACACAGGUAGGAUGGCUGUGACAUACAGCUCCAUGAUGUGCUGCUUCUGGAAAAGGGGAUGGGGAAU
rnacentral:lncRNA from 1 species